CAAACUUGCAGUUCGUAUUACACCAUUGCUACUUCCUCAUACCAGCUACUGAGCAACAGAACAUUAAACUGCAACGAGCAGAAGCAGCACACACACACACAUUCAGUUUUGUUAACUUAAACCGAGCAUUACCUGGCUUUGAACCGAAACCUCACGCCAUUUUAGGAUCACGAAGCUCGGCACAAAGAGGCUGAAAGAGCGGGAAAGAAGUCACUCUGGAUUCUCUGAUUGGGGUAAAAGUGUCAUUGAUGUAAGUAAUGGUUCAUUUUGGUUGGUACUUUGGUAGAAUUGGCAUCAAGCUUACCAUGAAUAGACUUUCUUUUACGCAAAGUACACAGUCUUAUCUAUUACGGCAUAGUAAGCAUACCGAACAAUCUCUCCCUCUCUCCUUCUGUCAAGACACACAUUAUUUUAUGGAGAUGCGAGUGAUCCUGACCCUUUCUGCUCUCCGGACCUGCCUGAUCCAUCCUGAUGUCCUACCUCUGGAUGGAGCGCUCAAGAACUGGAGGCUACAGUCUGGAGAUUGCUGAGGACGGUACCGCUUGAAGUACCAUGAAAUGGUUUUGGACCUCAAUUCCACAUGGACGUUCUCGCUGUGGUUGCUGGGACUACGGAUGCUGCGAUGGCCUUGGGACUGCAAUUACUACAUACAGUUUUACACUCAGGUCUCCUUUAGUGAACAGUGGACUAGUUCAACAAACAGACUUCAUAUAAAACCAUCAUGAACUUUCUUUUACUCUCACACUAUCCGUUGUUACCCAGAUGAGGACGGGUUCCCUUCUGAGUCCGGUUCCUCUCAAGGUUUCUUCCUCAUAUCAUCUCAGGGAGUUUUUCCUCACCACCGUUGCUCAAUAGAGAUAAACUCACACACUUAAAAUCUGUGUCCUGUGUUUAGGUUUCUGUAAAGCUGCUUUGAGACAAUGUUCACUGUUAAAAGCACCAUACAAAUGAAAUUGAAUUGAAUCACCUGCACCAAAUAUAGCCCCGCCCACAUCAAAGCAGCCAGAAGACAAUGGAAACUCCAAAAAGAAAAUUCAGAAAUCUAUUAACUGGAAAAAAAAACAAAAACAAAAAGAAUAAUAUUGACCGGAGGCUUAAACCCAGCACAUGGUAGCAAAAGACGGUUGACAACUGUUGGAAUUUUAUUACUUUAUUCUGAUAGCUAGUUAGCAAGACUAGUUGCGAAAGGAUGCUAGUGAGCAAGAAAACCAGCUAGUUAACAUGGUAGCUAGUAAUCAGCUCUUUUUCUAAUUAGGAAGACGUUGAGAGAACAUCGAUUUGG